rnacentral:rRNA from 1 species
UGCCCUGGCAGUCAGAGGCGAUGAAGGACGUGCUAAUCUGCGAUAAGCGUCGGUAAGGUGAUAUGAACCGUUAUAACCGGCGAUUUCCGAAUGGGGAAACCCAGUGUGAUUCGUCACACUAUCAUUAACUGAAUCCAUAGGUUAAUGAGGCGAACCGGGGGAACUGAAACAUCUAAGUACCCCGAGGAAAAGAAAUCAACCGAGAUUCCCCCAGUAGCGGCGAGCGAACGGGGAGCAGCCCAGAGCCUGAAUCAGUGUGUGUGUUAGUGGAAGCGUCUGGAAAGGCGCGCGAUACAGGGUGACAGCCCCGUACACAAAAAUGCACAUGCUGUGAGCUCGAUGAGUAGGGCGGGACACGUGGUAUCCUGUCUGAAUAUGGGGGGACCAUCCUCCAAGGCUAAAUACUCCUGACUGACCGAUAGUGAACCAGUACCGUGAGGGAAAGGCGAAAAGAACCCCGGCGAGGGGAGUGAAAAAGAACCUGAAACCGUGUACGUACAAGCAGUGGGAGCACGCUUAGGCGUGUGACUGCGUACCUUUUGUAUAAUGGGUCAGCGACUUAUAUUCUGUAGCAAGGUUAACCGAAUAGGGGAGCCGAAGGGAAACCGAGUCUUAACUGGGCGUUAAGUUGCAGGGUAUAGACCCGAAACCCGGUGAUCUAGCCAUGGGCAGGUUGAAGGUUGGGUAACACUAACUGGAGGACCGAACCGACUAAUGUUGAAAAAUUAGCGGAUGACUUGUGGCUGGGGGUGAAAGGCCAAUCAAACCGGGAGAUAGCUGGUUCUCCCCGAAAGCUAUUUAGGUAGCGCCUCGUGAAUUCAUCUCCGGGGGUAGAGCACUGUUUCGGCAAGGGGGUCAUCCCGACUUACCAACCCGAUGCAAACUGCGAAUACCGGAGAAUGUUAUCACGGGAGACACACGGCGGGUGCUAACGUCCGUCGUGAAGAGGGAAACAACCCAGACCGCCAGCUAAGGUCCCAAAGUCAUGGUUAAGUGGGAAACGAUGUGGGAAGGCCCAGACAGCCAGGAUGUUGGCUUAGAAGCAGCCAUCAUUUAAAGAAAGCGUAAUAGCUCACUGGUCGAGUCGGCCUGCGCGGAAGAUGUAACGGGGCUAAACCAUGCACCGAAGCUGCGGCAGCGACGCUUAUGCGUUGUUGGGUAGGGGAGCGUUCUGUAAGCCUGCGAAGGUGUGCUGUGAGGCAUGCUGGAGGUAUCAGAAGUGCGAAUGCUGACAUAAGUAACGAUAAAGCGGGUGAAAAGCCCGCUCGCCGGAAGACCAAGGGUUCCUGUCCAACGUUAAUCGGGGCAGGGUGAGUCGACCCCUAAGGCGAGGCCGAAAGGCGUAGUCGAUGGGAAACAGGUUAAUAUUCCUGUACUUGGUGUUACUGCGAAGGGGGGACGGAGAAGGCUAUGUUGGCCGGGCGACGGUUGUCCCGGUUUAAGCGUGUAGGCUGGUUUUCCAGGCAAAUCCGGAAAAUCAAGGCUGAGGCGUGAUGACGAGGCACUACGGUGCUGAAGCAACAAAUGCCCUGCUUCCAGGAAAAGCCUCUAAGCAUCAGGUAACAUCAAAUCGUACCCCAAACCGACACAGGUGGUCAGGUAGAGAAUACCAAGGCGCUUGAGAGAACUCGGGUGAAGGAACUAGGCAAAAUGGUGCCGUAACUUCGGGAGAAGGCACGCUGAUAUGUAGGUGAAGUCCCUCGCGGAUGGAGCUGAAAUCAGUCGAAGAUACCAGCUGGCUGCAACUGUUUAUUAAAAACACAGCACUGUGCAAACACGAAAGUGGACGUAUACGGUGUGACGCCUGCCCGGUGCCGGAAGGUUAAUUGAUGGGGUUAGCGCAAGCGAAGCUCUUGAUCGAAGCCCCGGUAAACGGCGGCCGUAACUAUAACGGUCCUAAGGUAGCGAAAUUCCUUGUCGGGUAAGUUCCGACCUGCACGAAUGGCGUAAUGAUGGCCAGGCUGUCUCCACCCGAGACUCAGUGAAAUUGAACUCGCUGUGAAGAUGCAGUGUACCCGCGGCAAGACGGAAAGACCCCGUGAACCUUUACUAUAGCUUGACACUGAACAUUGAGCCUUGAUGUGUAGGAUAGGUGGGAGGCUUUGAAGUGUGGACGCCAGUCUGCAUGGAGCCGACCUUGAAAUACCACCCUUUAAUGUUUGAUGUUCUAACGUGGACCCGU